UCAGUAUCUAAAAAUAAAUCAAACCAAAGAGAAUAAAAGCAUUAGGGGAUUUCCCAUUGGAGGAGCCGAGAGAUCCAAAAUGACGACAGAUCCUUCCACGCCUUCUGAGGAGAACGGAGGAAACGACCUCCAGCUGAAAUAUAUGCUAUAUUGAUUCGAUAGCAGAUACAAGAGAAGAGCCCCGAUUUUGGCAAGAACGAGCUGCGAUGCGACAGUGACGCGGAUGAAUCCGAUGCAGACGAUGGCGGAGAAGAAGAAGUUGAGCGGCGGAUUCAUCGGUGGCGUCAAUAUGGCGCAGAUUCACCUCGGGAACGGAGGAGACGACCUCUGAGCAGACCCAUUGUGAGCUCUCUUUGCCGACGUCUCCGCCACCGUUCUUGGUGAGUGGGUCAAUUUCAUUACCGACCAAAACGGAAUUCAAAGAGCAAGCUCAGACUUAUGAAGUUCUUAGUAAUGUAGUUCUACUUUCGGGGCUCAUGAUGACCAAGCUUUAGCCGGUUGGGGUCUCCUGUCCAUGCAUCAAAAAAAAAAUUUGAAGAAAAAAAAUGAAAAUUCUAUUUGCUUAGAGAUCAAAGGAGAUGGUACGAGAAGAACACUAAGAGCCACUGCAAUUAGAGGUUGCUCAAUAGUUACAAAGGGCCUUUAUGGUUGGUAGGUUGAAUUUUAAAUUUGAGGAAUGACACUAUUUAAAAGUUGUUUGCCUCAUAGCUAAAGAAUCUGUUAGGUAUAACGUUUUGUAUUUGAUAUGACAUCGUUGUGAUUUUUCAAUCACGAAGCUGUUUUAUCAAUGAAACAACUGGUUAGUGAAGAAAUGGCUACCAUUAGAGAUUAUAUUAGAUUACUUUACUCUUAAAGUUAGAUGGUCAUGCUAGUUUAAAUUUACUAAUGUUCUUACAUGUGAAUAUGUGCACACGAUUGCAAUAUAGUGUUUGAAAGAAAUAGUGUAGUUUGAUUUUAUACGGAAGAUGUUCAUGUUGGAAGAAGUGCAUAUUGAUCACUCUUAACGUGUACAUGUGGAUCAUGUCAAAAUUAUGUACAUGUGGAUACAAUUUUUUUUGUACACUUUUGAAACAAGUAAAUGUGCGUACUAGCUUUGCAAAUGUCGGCGUAGUCGUGUGAAGGUGGUCAAUGCAUCAUGGUAAGGUGCUCAUUUGGAUAUUUUGUAUAUUAGAAUUAUAAACGUAUAUGGGGUCAUUGUUUGGUGGUACAUGUGUACAAAUCAAUUUUUUGUGUACAUGUGUACACAUAAAUAUUUUGUGUAGAUGUAAAUUAUGUAUAUUACAAUUAUAAAUCUAUAUUGAGUCAUUGUUUGGUGGUACAUGUGUACAAAUCAAUUUUUUGUACAAAUCAAUUUUUUGUGUACAAUGUGUACACAUAAACAUUUUGUGUACAUGUAAAUUAUGUAAAAGUAAGUUUCUUUACAAACUUUCCAGCCCUACAUGAUUCACAUCGCCUGGUUCAUCUGCGGCUGAAACGGAAAUUGACUCGGCGUCAGAGUUACAUUUACGGUGGAGCUACACCGGCUUCUCUGGUCUUCAAGAUCUGACACACCUCUCUCAUCCCCAUCCUCACUCUCUCUUAUCCUCACCAGAGCGUCCGGUGCAUCUUCUCGCUCUGUAACAAAUACACAUGAAACCACCGUACACAUCUCAUCAUCUCCACUACAAAAAACCAUGUUCAUCGCAAAAUCGUCAUUUUUGUAGAACAAGAUCUUCACAAAAUCGCCGUCGUAAUGGAACGAGCUUCAUCAUCUCCCUUGACAAAAUCUGUGACAAAUAUUACUCAACCAAAUAAUUUAAGGAAAAGAAAAUCAAAACAUCUAUGAUUAAAAUGCAAAUUUAUAAAAGUAACCGUAUAAAAAAAAUAAGAAGCACAAGAUAAGAAAUAGAUAGAAAAGAAGAGAGAAAGAAGUAGGUCCUACUAGUUAUAGGGGGUGAUUGGUUGGGUUGUAAUUGUAGAAAAUUUACUUUAAUAUUUUGUCUGUAGGAUUUUUGAUUUAGCUUUAAAUGAUGUAGCUUUAAAAUUUUCUACAGCUAAAAAAAUGGGGCUUUAGAAAAUAAGAUGUUUACAGCCAUUUUUUGUGUGUUUUUGCUGUAGUUUUAAUUUUUUGGUUGUAGCUUUAAAAACCAAGAUAAAGCAUGAUUGGUAGUAUUUAAGGUUGUAGAUGAAAAUUAAAGCUAAAGUCACUUUCUACAGC